rnacentral:rRNA from 1 species
UACGUAGGUGGCGAGCGUUGUCCGGAUUUAUUGGGCGUAAAGCGCGCGCAGGCGGUCUCGUAAGUCUGCUGUGAAAUCUCCCUGGCUCAACCGGGAGGGGGCGGCGGAGACUGCGGGACUGGAGGGACCUAGAGGCCGGUGGAAUUCCCGGUGUAGUGGUGAAAUGCGUAGAUAUCGGGAGGAACACCCAUGGCGAAGGCAGCAAGCUGGGCGACACCUGACGCUGAGGCGCGAAAGCGUGGGUAGCAAACAGG